AGCAGCCGCGGUAAUUCCAGCUCCAAUAGCGUAUAUUAAAGUUGUUGCAGUUAAAAAGCUCGUAGUUGAAUUUCGGGGUUCCACCGUUGGUCGGGCUAUUGUCUGUACUGGCGUGUGGAAUUUCUACCUUCUGGGGAACUAUCAUGUUAUUAAUUUAGCGUGGUAGGAAACCAGGACCUUUACCUUGAAAAAAUUAGAGUGUUCAAAGCAGGCUUAUGUCUGAAUACAUUAGCAUGGAAUAAUAAAAUAGGACGGUGGUCCUGUUUUGUUGGUUUCUGAAUCACCGUAAUGAUUAAUAGGGAUAGUUGGGGGCAUUAGUAUUCAAUUGUCAGAGGUGAAAUUCUUGGAUUUAUUGAAGACUAACUACUGCGAAAGCAUUUGCCAAGGAUGUUUUCAUUAAUCAAGAACGAAAGUUAGGGGAUCGAAGACGAUCAGAUACCGUCGUAGUCUUAACCAUAAACUAUGCCGACUAGGGAUCGGACGAUGUUAACUUUUCUUGACUCGUUCGGCGCCUUACGGG
rnacentral:rRNA from 1 species